rnacentral:rRNA from 1 species
UACGUAGGUGGCAAGCGUUGUCCGGAUUUAUUGGGUUUAAAGGGUGCGUAGGUGGUCUUAUAAGUCAGUGGUGAAAUACUUCAGCUCAACUGGAGAGGUGCCAUUGAUACUGUUAGACUUGAGUACAGACGAGGUAGGCGGAAUUGACGGUGUAGCGGUGAAAUGCUUAGAUAUCGUCAAGAACACCGAUAGCGAAGGCAGCUUACUAGACUGUAACUGACACUGAGGCACGAAAGUGUGGGGAUCAAACAGG